rnacentral:rRNA from 1 species
ACGGGUGAGUAAUGUCUGGGAAACUGCCUGAUGGAGGGGGAUAACUACUGGAAACGGUGGCUAAUACCGCAUAAUGUCUACGGACCAAAGCAGGGGCUCUUCGGACCUUGCACUAUCGGAUGAACCCAUAUGGGAUUAGCUAGUAGGUGGGGUAAAGGCUCACCCAGGCGACGAUCUCUAGCUGGUCUGAGAGGAUGAUCAGCCACACUGGAACUGAGACACGGUCCAAACUCCUACGGGAGGCAGCAUG